UACGAAGGGGGCUAGCGUUGUUCGGAAUUACUGGGCGUAAAGCGCACGUAGGCGGAUCGAUCAGUCUGGGGUGAAAUCCCAGAGCUCAACUCUGGAACUGCCUUUGAUACUGUCGAUCUAGAGUAUGGAAGAGGUGAGUGGAAUUCCGAGUGUAGAGGUGAAAUUCGUAGAUAUUCGGAGGAACACCAGUGGCGAAGGCGGCUCACUGGUCCAUUACUGACGCUGAGAUGCGAAAGCGUGGGGAGCAAACAGG
rnacentral:rRNA from 1 species